GAGUUUGAUCCUGGCUCAGGAUGAACGCUAGCUACAGGCUUAACACAUGCAAGUCGAGGGGCAGCAUGACCUAGCAAUAGGUUGAUGGCGACCGGCGCACGGGUGAGUAACACGUAUCCAACCUGCCGAUUAUUCCGGGAUAGCCUUUCGAAAGAAAGAUUAAUACUGGAUAGCAUAACGAGAAGGCAUCUUCUUGUUAUUAAAGAAUUUCGAUAAUCGAUGGGGAUGCGUUCCAUUAGUUUGUUGGCGGGGUAACGGCCCACCAAGACAUCGAUGGAUAGGGGUUCUGAGAGGAAGGUCCCCCACAUUGGAACUGAGACACGGUCCAAACUCCUACGGGAGGCAGCAGUGAGGAAUAUUGGUCAAUGGACGAGAGUCUGAACCAGCCAAGUAGCGUGAAGGAUGACUGCCCUAUGGGUUGUAAACUUCUUUUAUAUGGGAAUAAAGUGAGCCACGUGUGGCUUUUUGUAUGUACCAUACGAAUAAGGAUCGGCUAACUCCGUGCCAGCCGCCGCGGUAAUAC
rnacentral:rRNA from 1 species